UACGUAGGGUGCAAGCGUUGUCCGGAAUUAUUGGGCGUAAAGAGCUCGUAGGCGGUUUGUCGCGUCUGCUGUGAAAACUCGGGGCUUAACUCCGGGCCUGCAGUGGGUACGGGCAGACUAGAGUGCGGUAGGGGAGACUGGAAUUCCUGGUGUAGCGGUGGAAUGCGCAGAUAUCAGGAGGAACACCAAUAGCGAAGGCAGCUCGCUGGGACGGUACUGACGCUAAGGCGCGAAAGCGUGGGGAGCGAACAGG
rnacentral:rRNA from 1 species